GUUAGGAAUAUUGGACAAUGGGCGCAAGCCUGAUCCAGCCAUGCCGCGUGAGUGAUGAAGGCCUUCGGGUUGUAAAGCUCUUUAGCCGAUGAUUAUAAUGACUGUAGUCGGAAAAUAAGCCCCGGCUAACUUCGUGCCAGCAGCCGCGGUAAUACGAAGGGGGCGAGCGUUAUUCGGAAUCACUGGGCGUAAAGCGUGCGUAGGCGGCUUUGCAAGUUGGGAGUGAAAGCCAAGGGCUCAACCCUGGAAUUGCUCUCAAAACUGCAAGGCUCGAAUUCGGGAGAGGAUAGCGGAAUUGUCAGUGUAGCAGUGAAAUGCGUAGAUAUUGACAGGAACACCAGUGGCGUAAGCGGCUAUCUGGACCGAUAUUGACGCUGAGGCACGAAAGCGUGGGGAUCAAACAGGAUUAGAUACCCUGGUAGUCC
rnacentral:rRNA from 1 species